GGAAACAGAUGCUAAUACCGGAUAACAACAGAUGAUGCCUAUCAACUGUUUAAAAGAUGGUUCUGCUAUCACUCUUGGAUGGACCUGCGGUGCAUUAGCUAGUUGGUAGGGUAACGGCCUACCAAGGCGAUGAUGCAUAGCCGAGUUGAGAGACUGAUCGGCCACAUUGGGACUGAGACACGGCCCAAACUCCUACGGGAGGCAGCAGCA
rnacentral:rRNA from 1 species